AACCAAGGUGAGCCAAUUCAGCAAUACUCAUCUUGAUUGAGGGAUAUCUAUGAUUACCCAACCUAUAAUGACUGUUAAGAGGGAAGGUUUUGAGAGGGAGUUGCAGAGAGAAAGCUGUGUUAUCUCUCUCUGCUAUGCUGGAGAGAGAUAAGCCUCACAAACACGUACAGGGCCCCAGCAGCUGAGAGAAGGUGUGAAGGAUAGGGAAGAGAAGACAGAAAGUCCUGGAGAGGACAGGGUCUUGCCUUUUCUCCCUGGUGCCCCGUGCUUCUACAGCACUGAGAAUGGUGAAAGUAAUAGUUGGUUUUGACCUCAUGACAGCUCAGAAGACAGGUGCCAGCCAAACAACACAGAGGAUUUCAUCAUUUUCAUUUUAGGAAAACUGAAGGAAGAUCACAUGCUGGGCAGGAAAGCAUGAAGAUUGUUUGAUAAGAUUCCAUUAAAGUGAGCUGACAGCAAGGUUAG